rnacentral:lncRNA from 1 species
GUUUUGAUAUUUUUAUUAAGUGUGAUAAUGGUGUUUUGUUUCUUUUCAUCGUAUGACACGUAAACAUCCAGUUACUAAUGUCCUUAAGUCCUCUUGGUACUUUUAUUUAGUCAUUCUACAGGGUCAUACUCACUUAUACUGCUAAUGACGAUUUAAUUUCAAAUAUGUUAAUAAUUAUUAUAACACUAUCUUACAGGCUAAAUUAAUUUUUAUUUUUCAAUGUCAGCUUCCAUGGAAGGC